CCUACGGGUGGCUGCAGUAGGGAAUCUUCCACAAUGGGCGAAAGCCUGAUGGAGCAACGCCGCGUGGGUGAAGAAGGUCUUCGGAUCGUAAAACCCUGUUGUUAGAGAAGAAAGUGCGUGAGAGUAACUGUUCACGUUUCGACGGUAUCUACCCAGAAAGCCCCGGCUAACUACGUGCCAGCAGCCGCGGUAAUACGUAGGUGGCGAGCGUUAUCCGGAUUUAUUGGGUUUAAAGGGUGCGCAGGCGGGGGAUCAAGUCAGCGGUAAAAUGUCGGGGCUAAACCCCGGCCGGCAGUUGAAACUGGUGUGCUAGAGUGGGAGAGAAGUAUGCGGAAUUCGUGGUGUAGCGGUGAAAUGCAUAGAUAUCACGAAGAACUCCGAUGGCGAAGGCAGCAUACCGGAUCCAGACUGACGCUGAGGCACGAAAGCGUGGGGAUCGAACAGGAUUAGAUACCCUUGUAGUC
rnacentral:rRNA from 1 species